rnacentral:rRNA from 1 species
AUUGAACGCUGGCGGCAUGCCUUACACAUGCAAGUCGAACGGCAGCACGGGAGCUUGCUCCUGGUGGCGAGUGGCGAACGGGUGAGUAAUGCAUCGGAACGUGCCCUGAAGUGGGGGGUAACGUAGCGAAAGUUGCGCUAAUACCGCAUAUUCUGUGAGCAGGAAAGCAGGGGACCGCAAGGCCUUGCGCUCUUUUGAGCGGCCGAUGUCAGAUUAGCUAGUUGGUGAGGUAACGGCUUACCAAGGCGACGAUCUGUAGCGGGUCUGAGAGGAUGACCAGCCACACUGGAACUGAGACACGGUCCAGACUCCUACGGGAGGCAGCAGUGGGGAAUUUUGGACAAUGGGCGCAAGCCUGAUCCAGCCAUUCCGCGUGCAAGAUGAAGGCCUUCGGGUUGUAACUAGCUUUUGUUACGGAACGAAACGGCGAGACUCUAAUACAGUUUGCUAAUGACGGUACCGUAAGAAUAAGCACCGGCUAACUACGUAG